rnacentral:rRNA from 1 species
UACGGAGGGGGCUAGCGUUGUCCGGAAUUACUGGGCGUAAAGCGCGCGUAGGUGGUCCACCAAGUCGGGGGUGAAAGCCCAGGGCUCAACCCUGGAAUUGCCUCCGAGACUGAUGGACUCGAGUUCGGGAGAGGAGAGCGGAAUUCCCAGUGUAGAGGUGAAAUUCGUAGAUAUUGGGAAGAACACCGGUGGCGAAGGCGGCUCUCUGGCCCGCAACUGACGCUGAGGCGCGAAAGCGUGGGGAGCAAACAGGGAUUAAGAAACCCCAGGUACGUC